GCAGCGGCGGACGGGUGAGUAAUGCCUAGGAAUCUGCCUGGUAGUGGGGGACAACGUCUCGAAAGGGACGCUAAUACCGCAUACGUCCUACGGGAGAAAGUGGGGGCUCUUCGGACCUCACGCUAUCAGAUGAGCCUAGGUCGGAUUAGCUAGUUGGUGAGGUAAUGGCUCACCAAGGCGACGAUCCGUAACUGGUCUGAGAGGAUGAUCAGUCACACUGGAACUGAGACACGGUCCAGACUCUAUACGGGAGGCAGCAGUGGGGAAUAUUGGACAAUGGGCGAAAGCCUGAUCCAGCCAUGCCGCGUGUGUGAAGAAGGUCUUCGGAUUGUAAAGCACUUUAAGUUGGGAGGAAGGGUUGUACGUUAAUACCGUGCAAUUUUGACGUUACCGACAGAAUAAGCACCGGCUAACUCUGUGCCAGCAGCCGCGGUAAUACAGAGGGUGCAAGCGUUAAUCGGAAUUACUGGGCGUAAAGCGCGCGUAGGUGGUUUGUUAAGUUGGAUGUGAAAUCCCCGGGCUCAACCUGGGAACUGCAUCCAAAACUGGCAAGCUAGAGUAGGGCAGAGGGUGGUGGAAUUUCCUGUGUAGCGGUGAAAUG
rnacentral:rRNA from 1 species